rnacentral:rRNA from 1 species
UACGUAGGGGGCAAGCGUUGUCCGGAUUUAUUGGGCGUAAAGAGCGUGUAGGCGGCCUGAAAGGUCAGCUGUGAAAACUCGAGGCUCAACCUCGAGACGUCGGUUGAAACCAUCUGGCUAGAGUCCGGAAGAGGAGUGUGGAAUUCCCGGUGUAGCGGUGAAAUGCGCAGAUAUUCGCAAGAACACCAGUGGCGAAGGCGGCUCACUGGCCCGAUACUGACGCUGAGGUGCGAAAGCGUGGGGAGCAAACAGGAU